UACGGAAGGCAGCAGUGGGGAAUAUUGCACAAUGGGCGAAAGCCUGAUGCAGCUAUGCCGCGUGUAUGAAGAAGGCCUUAGGGUUGUAAAGUACUUUCAGCAGGGAGGAAAAGAAAUAAAACUAAUAAUUUUAUUUUGUGACGUUACCUGAAGAAGAAGCACCGGCUAACUCCGUGCCAGCAGCCGCGGUAAUACGGAGGGUGCAAGCGUUAAUCAGAAUUACUGGGCGUAAAGAGCGCGUAGGUGGUUUUUUUAAGUCAGAUGUGAAAUCCCUAGGCUUAACCUAGGAACUGCAUUUUGAAACUGAAAAACUAGAGUAUCGUAGAGGGAGGUAGAAUUCUAGGUGUAGCGGUGAAAUGCGUAGAUAUCUGGAGGAAUACCUGUGGCGAAAGCGGCCUCCUAAACGAAUACUGACACUGAGGUGCGAAAGCGUGGGGAGCGAAACAGGGAUUAGAUACC
rnacentral:rRNA from 1 species